rnacentral:rRNA from 1 species
CACGUAGGGUGCGAGCGUUGUCCGGAAUUAUUGGGCGUAAAGAGCUCGUAGGCGGUGUGUCGCGUCGGCCGUGAAAACCUGCAGCUUAACUGUGGGCUUGCGGUCGAUACGGGCAUCACUGGAGUUCGGCAGGGAGACUGGAAUUCCUGGUGUAGCGGUGAAAUGCGCAGAUAUCAGGAGGAACACCGGUGGCGAAGGCGGGUCUCUGGGCCGAUGACUGACGCUGGAGGAAGCGAAAGCGUGGGGAGCGAACAGG